rnacentral:rRNA from 1 species
AUUGAACGCUGGCGGCAUGCUUUACACAUGCAAGUCGAACGGUAACAGGUUAAGCUGACGAGUGGCGAACGGGUGAGUAAUGCAUCGGAACGUGCCCGGUCGUGGGGGAUAACGCAGCGAAAGCUGCGCUAAUACCGCAUACGAUCUGCGGAUGAAAGCGGUGCACCGUAAGGCCACGCGCGAUCGGAGCGGCCGAUGUCAGAUUAGGUAGUUGGUGGGGUAAAGGCCUACCAAGCCGACGAUCUGUAGCUGGUCUGAGAGGACGACCAGCCACACUGGGACUGAGACACGGCCCAGACUCCUACGGGAGGCAGCAGUGGGGAAUUUUGGACAAUGGGCGCAAGCCUGAUCCAGCAAUGCCGCGUGCAGGAAGAAGGCCUUCGGGUUGUAAACUGCUUUUGUACGGAGCGAAAAGGCUCUCUCUAAUACAGGGGGUUCAUGACGGUACCGUAAGAAUAAGCACCGGCUAGCUACGUGCCAGCCGCCGCCGUAAGAC